UUUUUUUGUGCGCAUCGGCAAGUUACUAGAUGCAUGCAUCUGAUUGGAUGACGACCUGAUGACGACCUGAUGACGACUCACUUUAAACUUGCUGAGCACGCGCAGUUGAUCAUUUUUUGCCCAGUCGCCUGAAAAAAGUGGGUACAUGAUAACAUAAUCUUCUGCAGUGUUUACAACGGUCAGUUACGUCUCUGUAUGUCUUAUCUACUCUGUG
rnacentral:lncRNA from 1 species